UGAGCUCCCCAGUACCUGUCCACUAGUGUCCUUAUCCCCACAGUGAGCCACAGCCACUUCCCUGUUUCCCCAGGAGAUCUUCCAAGACCAGCAGCUUUUCUGAGCCCACAAAUCUAGGGGAAAAAAUCUGGAAAAAUGUCAUGUUAAAGUUUGUCGUUCCAGCCAAUCAAAAGUAUGUCCAAAACAAUUGAUGGAACAUGGAAAAUCUAUUACUCGGUAUACAUCCUUUUUGGAAUACCGAUGUAAAUGUUGAAGCAAGAAAAAUGAAGCUGGAUGGUAUUCUGAGGGCUGCUUUCAGAAGGCAAAUGACAGGUUAAGACUUGCUGGGGAAGACAAAUAGUUUUCCUGGAGCUUUUCAGAUUUUUGUGUGAAACUCUGUCAGGCCUCAGAAUAUUGGGCUUACUUCUGGAGGCCAGCCUAAUUUCCAGUCCUAGUGUCUCUGACAUUGACCUGUUCUGCUACAAUUAAGUCUUCUGUACUCACCUUUAUCAUAAGAAACAUCCCGUGGCCCCAGAAAUUCUAGAAAAGAAGAUUUCAACUUAAUUUCCCUGGCUGCUUAAAAUUCAGCACAAAUAAGAACAUUUGCCACUAGUGGAUGUUGCAGCUCAAAUGUAACCAAAGGAAAAAUCUCAGGAAAAAGCACAGAUGGUCUCAUUGGACUCUGGAGGAACUACUUUCUGUAUCAGUGGCAAUUUCUCCCUGGUGUAUCUACCUAACUAUUUGCACAGCAUAAAAAUUAAUUUUGCAGAUGGGGAAGGGCAAGGAAUCUUCAAAGAACUGAUUGGUGGAGUAUGAAAGUCAGUGGUUCCCGGAUGUAGAAGAGGAAUCCACUUGUAGAGAGCAACGCAUUGGUCUACAGACAUCUGAGGUAUUUUGCAGGUGAAGGAAGUGGAGCAAUUGCUUUACUCAGCAUGGCUGCAUAUACAGAUCUGGUACCAGAAGAGUUCCAUGAAUCACUCCUGUAUAACUUUCAAACAGAUAGGAAUGGCCAUUCUACAUGGCACUCUGAUGACAACAAAGAACACUUCAGGAAAUAUAUUUCUUCAAAAUUUUGCUGAUAGGUACAGUCACAUUUUUGUGCUCCAACUAUUAAGAAUAAAGUUUUGUGCUUCAAGAUAAAUGUACUCCUGACUGACCACAAGUCAGCAUGCACAUUGAUUUGUCAUCUGGGCAGUAUAGUUUGCAUAGAUUUGUCACCUUUUCUAGCCUGUUUCCUUAGAAGGAUACAACAUGUCAUUGCACACUGUCAUUCUUAUUACCCACAGAAUUCAAAUCAUAGACCUUUUAUGUGUAGUUGAGCAUUCAUUUUCUCUCCCUUGAUUAAACAACUUAAAAAUGUUUUUGACUUUUGUAGUAUAUAAAUACUCUA